CUCUAGAAUCUUCCAUUAGAUAGGGGUUUCUCAGAUGAACCCUAGCACUCAAUCUACGCAGCUUCAUUAGAUUUUUGCAACUUUUUGGUAUUUGGAACCAAGGUCGCCUUCUCUCUCGUGGUUGAUGCUUUUUUGUUGUCUAUUUGAUAUCCUUUGAUGCAUUUUCUACCGGACUUAAUGAAAUCCAACGGCGAUAUGCUAGAGUAUCUACUGGAGAUCCCGUUUGUACAGAUUUACUCCACUAGAAGAGUUUGUCAAGAAAGGGACCAAAGAAGAGCAGGUACUAUGAUUUUAACUAUACACCAUUGUAGGUUAGAAAUAAAGUACACAUGAGUUGUGGUUGACAUAUUCAUUGUUCUGUGGGAUAUGAAUGAUGAUGAGACAUAACUGGACAGAAAGAAAGAACCUCUAGUUCCUUCUACUAGCCUUGAAAUAAAUCAUCUAGAUGGAAAUAUCUUAUCAUACUCUCUACGGUGCUCUUCUUCGCCACACAAAUGAUAAUCCUAAGGUUGAUGCUGCUCAUUUGUCCCAACAGAUAAGAAAAAGAUUUAACAAUCAAGUUGUCAAUCAACGUGAAGCUGUUAGCAGUAGUUUUUUAAGAAGAAAGAGUUAAAUCUUGAGACACUAGGCGUUGGUGGUCUGAGUUUGCAGAUAUAUUAAAUGCAUAUAUCCAUCAUUGUUUUGUAAAGUUCCCAAAAAAUCUGAUAAUUAAGAAGUAAAGCUGCUGAAAUUUGAAUCUCUACAACAAGAAGAUUCUAAUAAUAAAGAAUGGUUGUUUGAACUUUAUGGUGACCAACCAAAGAAACCACAAAGUAAAAUGAAUGAUAAAUGUGGUGGUGGCAAGGGAGAAGGACAAGGAAGCAAAGUAGAUGCCUCUUCCAGCUCUAGCACCUUUGAAGUGAAUGACCUUAUAUAUUUUUGGAAGAAGUGAUUUUGGAAUAGUAGUUGGCACUGAGAAAGAUGAUUGUAUCAAGAUAGGAUGGCAUGAGUGGGUACAUCAACAGAUGGAGAAAGAUGCGGUGUUGGUGGGAUAUCCAUAAAAAGGGACACAUUGAUUUGGAGUUGAAUGAUGUUGGGAGAAAACAAAUUGAGACAUUGAAACUAUUGUGGUAGCAUUUGUGGUGCAAAAGAGGUAUGCAUACCUCUUUUUUUUAAUAAAAGUGUGAAACCAGAAUUAUGGAUGCGUUAAAAGAAGGUGAUGCAAAUAUACCAGCACUCAAAUUGUCGUCUAAGGAUCUCAAAUUGUCAAAGGAUCUUGUAAGAAGUGUGAAUUGUAAGAAGUGUAAGGAAAGUAGUAAAGUUAUUUUCAUC